ACUUCAUCUCCAUUUCACCCUGAAAGCUGCAAUACCAUGGGGGUGUUGGUGAUCGUGACUUGUUGAAAAGGCUGCUAAGCAGAUAAAUGCAUUAGUGAAGAUUUAUUAUAUUUGAGAGAUUCAGAAGGGUGACAGGCUAAAGCUAAUUGAUGAACAUUGCCCUACCAAAUAAAUAAACCCUACAGUGAAGUGUCUUGUGGGCCCAUUGGCCCAGUGGCUAUGUACAAUACGGGAACCCCAAGCAAAAAACCUCAAGGCCAGGGAAGGUACACAGUUAGCUGGAACUUCAGAUCUCAGGUCUGACUUCUUAAGCAAGGCCUAUGAGACAAGUCAGAUAAAUACUGAUUGAAGAGGAAUCUAUACAUGGCUGAAAUGUACCUAUUAAACACAAAAAAAGAACUGACGAUGUUUUCCUACCCAAUAUGGCAGAAAAUGUUCAACUGACAGCUUUUCAGGUUCAAACAGCUCCAUCCAGAUUCCCAUUUAGAGCUGACUGGUGAUGAUAUCUUCUUUUUCCAACCUUUAUUUCUAUGAGUAUUUGAAUGAAUAAAAAUGACUCCAAAUGC
rnacentral:sRNA from 1 species